rnacentral:rRNA from 1 species
GACGAACGCUGGCGGCGUGCUUAACACAUGCAAGUCGAACGGAAAGGCCCUGCUUUUGUGGGGUGCUCGAGUGGCGAACGGGUGAGUAACACGUGAGUAACCUGCCCUUGACUUUGGGAUAACUUCAGGAAACUGGGGCUAAUACCGGAUAGGAGCUCCUGCUGCAUGGUGGGGGUUGGAAAGUUUCGGCGGUUGGGGAUGGACUCGCGGCUUAUCAGCUUGUUGGUGGGGUAGUGGCUUACCAAGGCUUUGACGGGUAGCCGGCCUGAGAGGGUGACCGGCCACAUUGGGACUGAGAUACGGCCCAGACUCCUACGGGAGGCAGCAGUGGGGAAUAUUGCACAAUGGGCGGAAGCCUGAUGCAGCAACGCCGCGUGCGGGAUGACGGCCUUCGGGUUGUAAACCGCUUUCGCCUGUGACGAAGCGUGAGUGACGGUAAUGGGUAAAGAAGCACCGGCUAACUACGUGCCAGCAGCCGCGGUGAUACGUAGGGUGCGGGCGUUGUCCGGAUUUAUUGGGCGUAAAGGGCUCGUAGGUGGUUGAUCGCGUCGGAAGUGUAAUCUUGGGGCUUAACCCUGAGCGUGCUUUCGAUACGGGUUGACUUGAGGAAGGUAGGGGAGAAUGGAAUUCCUGGUGGAGCGGUGGAAUGCGCAGAUAUCAGGAGGAACACCAGUGGCGAAGGCGGUUCUCUGGGCCUUUCCUGACGCUGAGGAGCGAAAGCGUGGGGAGCGAACAGGCUUAGAUACCCUGGUAGUCCACGCUGUAAACGGUGGGUACUAGGUGUGGGGUCCAUUCCACGGGUUCCGUGCCGUAGCUAACGCUUUAAGUACCCCGCCUGGGGAGUACGGCCGCAAGGCUAAAACUCAAAGGAAUUGACGGGGCCCCGCACAAGCGGCGGAGCAUGCGGAUUAAUUCGAUGCAACGCGUAGAACCUUACCUGGGUUUGACAUGGAUCGGGAGCGCUCAGAGAUGGGUGUGCCUCUUUUGGGGUCGGUUCACAGGUGGUGCAUGGCUGUCGUCAGCUCGUGUCGUGAGAUGUUGGGUUAAGUCCCGCAACGAGCGCAACCCUUGUUCACUGUUGCCAGCACGUUAUGGUGGGGACUCAGUGGAGACCGCCGGGGUCAACUCGGAGGAAGGUGGGGAUGACGUCAAGUCAUCAUGCCCCUUAUGUCCAGGGCUUCACGCAUGCUACAAUGGCUGGUACAGAGAGUGGCGAGCCUGUGAGGGUGAGCGAAUCUCGGAAAGCCGGUCUCAGUUCGGGUUGGGGUCUGCAACUCGACCUCAUGAAGUCGGAGUCGCUAGUAAUCGCAGAUCAGCAACGCUGCGGUGAAUACGUUCCCGGGGCU